UCAUGUUUAGGCAUGGCGCCUUUCUCUUGGAUUGAUGGGAGGACCCAUAUGUUCAGUGUUCCUGUGAAAAGUGUAUUUACUUGCUAUUAGUCUCAAUUGUCUUCUUAGAAAUAGGAUGAGAAUUUUAUAUUAAAAAAGUUUCAAGCUCCAGUUCCCACAUCACUACUCCUGUUCACAUAUGCACAGGCAAAUACAUGACACAUACACACACCCCACACACAUGUGUGCGAGCACACACGUGGUGCUUCCAUUCAUGUCUGUGCAGUAACUCCAGAGUCACUAAAAUUGCAUGGUACGUAUGAAGAUAAAAAUGUAUCUACUUUCAAAUUUCACAUGAUAAGAGUGCAGGCACUGAUGAGUUACAAAAGAGCGUAAAUGUAAAUGGUUUUCUAGUCUGACUCUGUCAUGAGUUUUUGCACUUGUUUUUGGUGAUGGAGAAGUGCAUAAAAACAUAUUCAAUAUUAGAAGUGUAAAAUCCACCGUGUAGCUCCAUAGUUUCGGAAUGCUUAUCCUAAAAGAAUACAAGUUCAAUGAGAUGUAUAUACUUUGGGUCUGGUUAAUUUCAAUGUGAUUUUUUUUUUCUUAUUUCCAAGGGUUUUUUUUUGUUUUGCUUGUUUUUCUGCUUGAUUUUUUUUUUUUUACAAUAAAGUUAAUUUUAAAGUUUUUAAAUACAUGUCAUGGGAGAGAGGGGAAAUAGUGCAGCCACUUAGAGUAAAAAGUUCUUCAGCAUCACCGAGUUUCACACAGCUGCAGGGAUAACUUCAGGAAAGGACGUGUGCGGCCAGAUGGCCUGUGCUGGCCUCCUUCCCACUCCUGCAAAAGAUAUGUUAUUCCCUCCCAGGGUAGCUCAGGCAAAGAGCUGAUUAUGGAAUUAAAAGAACCAAUGUCCAAUUAACCCCUGUUUUGGUCAGUGUUUUCUCCACAGUUUGAGUUAUUGGCAAUGCAUUCAUUCCAUCAGGGGAAGCAGCUGGAUUCUUGGUGAGUGCAGACCCCCAGGACUAAGAUAUCUGAAAGGCUGUCAUCAUCAACUCGGCCCCUACAAACUUAAGUGUGACCUUGGACAUCCUUACUUUCUUCUUUGUGUCCUUAGCUUUCCUUUCGUGAAAGCUGGAGGUGUGUGUUGCUCUGUAACCGCCCUCGUAAGGGAAAGUUACUAAAGAAAUGGGAGAAAAAUAGCACUUGUAUUGGGCAGACUUCUUCAGGAUCAUAGAUUAAAGAUGUAGUUUGCCUUCCACUCUAUAACUAUAGGAUGUGUCAGCAAAGGUGUGAAGACACGGGGCAGGCACUCCCUGGACCAAGCUGAAGUGCAGAGGCUGGGGGGUUAUAAUAGAAUUGCACCAGAGCUUCAGGAACAUGACAGCUUUCUGCAGCUCCCUACACCAGGAAGGCUGGGCUCUAGUUCCAGGCUGAUUGUGUAUGUUACACUCCUCCCAGUGUGAUGGCGCCACUCUCCUCUCUGCACGCUCACUCUUAGGUGCUUGUGAAAUGUGACUUCACCAAGGCCAAAUCUAAUGAAUGACACUUUUCACCCUCCGUGUUCUGCAUCCUAGGAGUGGAAGGGAUGCUGCCCAUAUUGGUUAGGCUCACAAAGAAAGGGUUACAAGCCAUCUUUCAGAUGUGCAGUUUCUCUUUGCUUUAAACCUGUGUUGAAAGAUGCUAAGAUUCCAGAAUCUCCUAGCUGAACCUCUGUCAUGGACCCAAGUGCUCCCACCUCCCACAUAUGCCUUCCACUCUAUGACUAUAGGAUGUCAGCAAAGGUGUAUUGAAUGUACUGAAAGAUCCAACGGAUUAUUAUUUCAGGGCCUGUGAGAUGUGGGAAUGCAAAGGCGCAUGCAGUCAACCCAUUGUCUAGGAACCUGAGAGGAGGUGACAAGCAAGU
rnacentral:lncRNA from 1 species